ACUGCAAGUCGAGCGAACAGACGAGGAGCUUGCUCCUUUGACGUUAGCGGCGGACGGGUGAGUAACACGUAGGUAACCUACCUAUAAGACUGGGAUAACUUCGGGAAACCGGAGCUAAUACCGGAUAAUAUUUCGAACCGCAUGGUUCGAUAGUGAAAGAUGGCUUUGCUAUCACUUAUAGAUGGACCUGCGCCGUAUUAGCUAGUUGGUAAGGUAACGGCUUACCAAGGCAACGAUACGUAGCCGACCUGAGAGGGUGAUCGGCCACACUGGAACUGAGACACGGUCCAGACUCCUACGGGAGGCAGCAGUAGGGAAUCUUCCGCAAUGGGCGAAAGCCUGACGGAGCAACGCCGCGUGAGUGAUGAAGGUCUUCGGAUCGUAAAACUCUGUUAUUAGGGAAGAACAAACGUGUAAGUAACUGUGCACGUCUUGACGGUACCUAAUCAGAAAGCCACGGCUAACUACGUGCCAGCAGCCGCGGUAAUACGUAGGUGGCAAGCGUUAUCCGGAAUUAUUGGGCGUAAAGCGCGCGUAGGCGGUUUUUUAAGUCUGAUGUGAAAGCCCACGGCUCAACCGUGGAGGGUCAUUGGAAACUGGAAAACUUGAGUGCAGAAGAGGAAAGUGGAAUUCCAUGUGUAGCGGUGAAAUGCGCAGAGAUAUGGAGGAACACCAGUGGCGAAGGCGACUUUCUGGUCUGUAACUGACGCUGAUGUGCGAAAGCGUGGGGAUCAAACAGGAUUAGAUACCCUGGUAGUCCACGCCGUAAACGAUGAGUGCUAAGUGUUAGGGGGUUUCCGCCCCUUAGUGCUGCAGCUAACGCAUUAAGCACUCCGCCUGG
rnacentral:rRNA from 1 species